rnacentral:rRNA from 1 species
CCCUUAGAUGUUCUGGGCCGCACGCGCGCUACACUGAUGCAUUCAACGAGUCUAAAACCUGCUCUGAUAGGGGUGGGUAAUCUUUUGAAUGUGCAUCGUGAUUGGGAUAGAUGAUUGCAAUUUUUCAUCUUCAACGAGGAAUGCCUAGUAAACGCAAGUCAUCAGCUUGCAUUGAUUACGUCCCUGCCCUUUGUACACACCGCCCGUCGCUCCUACCGAUUGAAUGAUCCGAUGAAUAGUCCGGAUUGCGAUCGACCUCGGUUAAUCGCGAGAAGUUCCGCAAAUCACUUCACUUAGAGGAAGGAGAAGUCGUAACA